GUCAAGGUCGAUCCGAAAGUAUCCAAAUGAAAACUCGUCACGUGACAAAGCGACAAUGGCGUCAAAAUUGUGAAUUUCAGACUGAUGAGAGUUAUUUUCAUCUAUUGGUAAAGGUCAAAUGGUGACGUAUUGGCUUGAAGGUAUGACGUCAUCACGGAUGGAACCAUUAGCAUCACGUCCUUGAAGCAGUGGGCAGGACAAGGAGGCUUUAAUCAACGAUUUAUUAUUUGUUAUGCCUAGUCAUAGUGUUAUUGUGCGUCAGUAGUCGACAUUCAAUUUGUGACAAGUUGCCAUUAAUUCCGGGCACGUUGAACCUCGAUUAUGUACCUUGCUGAUUUAUGCACGUUGGACUCCUAUUCUACAUUCAAGUGUGCAAGCUUCAAAACAAGGCGAUAUAAAGUGGCUCUAUUACUUAGUUAUUAUUGAACAUAAUGAUGAGCACAUAUCUGUCAAUAACCUUUAAGUUAAUAUUCUCAUAUAUAAAAUAGAGCUUCAUGACUAAAUAUACCCGGACCGCAUUGUCAGGACAA